UUGCUUUGGCAGCUCAUAUACUAAAACUGGAACAAUACAGAGGAGAUUAGCACGAUCUCUGCUCAAGGAUGACACACAAAUUCGUGAAGAGUUCCAUAUUUUU